CAAGGUGGUACAUCGCGUAGCAUGUGUUUAUGCAAAUGCACCGGAUAGAGAAAUAGUACAGAUACACCAUUGGACCAAUCUAGAAGUCUUUUAUUGUAGUUGUGCAAAUCCGUCGUCGUAGAGCAAAUCCAGAGCAGAACCCCAGCAGCGUGCGACGUCGUGAACAGGAGGACGACAGCUCUGGAUCUAGAUCUGGACCUGGUGCGAGCUCCUUCAUCUUCCAUGGCGGCUUCCCCAUCUUCGUCGAUGGCCGAUGGGCGUUCAGUGUCUUCGAUCCAUCCAGACAGGUGCUCAGCGGUGGUGGUUCCUUCGGCUUUACCAUGAUCUGGAGUCUGCCGGCGGAGUAUUUGGAGGCUUCAACUAUGAUUCCUGCGGAUUGGAGUUUAUGGGCAUCGCCGGCGUUUCCUUUGCUUUGCAAGUCGGCAAUGGCGAUGGAGAAGAAGAAUAGGGCACCUAGGGACCUUCUUAUAAUUUCUAUCUUCUUUGGUGUCUUGUGUGUAAAAGGGGAUGUAACCGUGUAUCAGUUUAAUGUAUCUUUCCUUUCGCAAAUAAGAAAAAUAGGAAUAGUUAUAAUCAUCUG